AAUGAACGUUGGCGGCGUGGAUUAGGCAUGCAAGCCGCGCGAGAAGUUUCCUUCGGGAGACGGACAGCGGCGGAAGGGAGAGGAAUAAGUAGAAAUCUGCCCUCGGGACGGGGAUAGCGGCGGGAAACUGCCGGUAAUACCCGAUAACAUCUUUGGAUCAAAUGGUGUGAUUCCGCCUGAGGAUGAGUCUACUUCCUAUUAGCUAGUUGGUGUGGUAAUGGCUCACCAAGGCAACGAUGGGUAGCGGGUGUGAGAGCACGAUCCGCCUCACUGGGACUGAGACACUGCCCAGACACCUACGGGUGGCUGCAGUCGAGAAUCUUCGGCAAUGGGGGAAACCCUGACCGAGCGACGCCGCGUGCGGGAUGAAGGCCCUCGGGUUGUAAACCGCUGUCGUAAGGGAACAAAUCUAAGAGGGUACUCCCUUUUAGUUGAGUGAUCUUAGGAGGAAGGACGGGCUAAGUUCGUG
rnacentral:rRNA from 1 species